rnacentral:rRNA from 1 species
AUGAACGCUGGCGGCGUGCCUAAUACCUGCAAGUCGAGCGAACAGACGAGGAGCUUGCUCCUCUGACGUUAGCGGCGGACGGGUGAGUAACACGUGGAUAACCUACCUAUAAGACUGGGAUAACUUCGGGAAACCGGAGCUAAUACCGGAUAAUAUAUUGAACCGCAUGGUUCAAUAGUGAAAGACGGUUUUGCUGUCACUUAUAGAUGGAUCCGCGCCGCAUUAACUAGUUGGUAAGGUAACGGCUUACCAAGGCAACGAUGCGUAGCCGACCUGAGAGGGUGAUCGGCCACACUGGAACUGAGACACGGUCCAGACUCCUACGGGAGGCAGCAGUAGGGAAUCUUCCGCAAUGGGCGAAAGCCUGACGGAGCAACGCCGCGUGAGUGAUGAAGGUCUUCGGAUCGUAAAACUCUGUUAUUAGGGAAGAACAAAUGUGUAAGUAACUAUGCACGUCUUGACGGUACCUAAUCAGAAAGCCACGGCUAACUACGUG